UACGGGGGGGGCAAGCGUUGUUCGGAAUUACUGGGCGUAAAGGGUUCGUAGGUGGCCAACUUAGUCAGACGUGAAAUCCCUCAGCUUAACUGGGGAACUGCGUCUGAUACUGGAUGGCUCGAGUGCAGGAGAGGAACGCGGAAUUCCAGGUGUAGCGGUGAAAUGCGUAGAUAUCUGGAGGAACACCGGUGGUGAAGACGGUCCCCUGGGCCGAGGCCGACGCUGAGGCGCGAGAGCGCGGGGAGCGAACCGG
rnacentral:rRNA from 1 species